GUAGAUUCUGCAAUAAUAUUAUUAUCAAAUCCUCUGGCUGAAAAAUCAAGGAGAUCAUCAGCAGGGAAUCCAUGUUCCUUCCCUCUAUCCACAAAAUCCAUUUCAGAAUGAACCGAGUGUGAAUUUGGCUGACAUGAAACUGACUCUACUGCAUCUGAAUCAGGGAUGCUUGUGUCGUAUCUCUCUCUGUAUACUUGUAGCUUGGACUUGGGUUGAAACCUUCUGGUACUCUGCCCUGAAUAAACAUUAGAAAUUAAAAAUGAGUGCGGCACAUGAUAAAGUGCAGGUGCAGGAACCUGAAAAUUC
rnacentral:lncRNA from 1 species